rfam:Triticum aestivum genome assembly, contig: Triticum_aestivum_CS42_TGACv1_scaffold_031818_1BL
GUAAUACUCCCUCCGUCCGGAAAUACUUGUCGGAGAAAGGGAUGAAUCUAGACGUAUUUUAGUUAUAGGUACAUCCAAUUUUAUCCAUUUCUUCGACAAGUAUUUCGGGACGGAGGGAGUACAUG